CAGUGGGGGUGGGGGCAGAGGGAGGAUUAUUUGUUUUUAAUUAUUUGGAUUCUCUACAGAACGACGCCGGCGCCUUCUGGAGAAGGAAUUUUCGUAACAAAUUGGAACCUUCAGUCACUUUGGAUCUGGAAGGCGAGGUCGGACGUGACCCGGGAACGGGAAGGCCCAGGUUUCAUUCAAGCCCUCUCUGGAGAGAAAGCCGCUUGAAGAAGCCUAUCUCCCGUAGCGCCCGCCCGGGAUUCCCUCUGCAGAUGCAGCUGCGAGCAAGCACCCGGCCCAGUCUACGCCGCGACCCGGGACACCCGCCUGCCUGUCUGCCCGCUUGCGGAUGUCUCCCCAUCCGCGUUGCUGGAUUAAGCCUGAGAUUGUAAAUCCCACAUUACGAAAAAAAGGGCAAUUAGCGGGGGAGAGAGCAGCCAGCGGGCUGUCAUUUGAAAAUACUGAAGUCGAUUAUAAACUCCGGAACAGAAUCCUAUUAAAUUACAUUCGCUGUGCGUUAUGAGUCGCACAUACGCCUCAAGUGCAUCGUAUGCAAUAAUGCAAACACGCUAUUUAUACUUUUAAAUAUCCCUAUGUCCGCCUGGGUGUGCAUUUCUUCGCUAGAAAUGGAUGCCUGGGUCACGGUUUCCUAUACAGUCGGACUGCAAGUUUGUAAUUUUUUUUUCUGAAUGGUAUACGCAUUUGAAAACGAAAAAUGCGGAAUGUCACCGAUGCCUUUUAUCAGAUCAAAUUUGUUCUUGAUUCUAAAGGGAAAAUUAAUAUAUCCAUUUAAACAAAGCCAUGCCGACUGGCUUUUGUCCAUUUGAAUAUUUUCUAAUUUUGAGAAGUUGCUCGAGAUCUGGAUGGAGCUGCUUUAAUUUGAUUGACAAGUGAUGUCACAUUAGUUAAGGAAAAAUGAUUUAGCAAUACAAUUAGUAUGACAAUGUAGUCAGACACCUGUUUCUGUGAAUGGUAGGGAAAAAAAGUUGCACAUGAAAACACGAUUAUAUAAAUCUCUACUAUCCAAGCACA